GACGUAGGGUGCGAGCGUUGUCCGGAUUUAUUGGGCGUAAAGAGCUCGUAGGCGGCUCGUCGCGUCGACCGUGAAAACCCGCGGCUUAACUGCGGGCUUGCGGUUGAUACGGGCGGGCUAGAGUUCGGUAGGGGAGACUGGAAUUCCUGGUGUAGCGGUGAAAUGCGCAGAUAUCAGGAGGAACACCGGUGGCGAAGGCGGAUCUCUGGGCCUUUCCUGACGCUCAGGUGCGAAAGCUAGGGGAGCGAACAGG
rnacentral:rRNA from 1 species